GAUGAAGAACGUAGCGAAAUGCGAUACUUGGUGUGAAUUGCAGAAUCCCGUGAACCAUCGAGUCUUUGAACGCAAGUUGCGCCCGAAGCCGUCAGGCCGAGGGCACGCCUGCCUGGGCGUCACACGCCGUUGCCCCCCCGCGCCCCGCACCCAACGCUUUGGGAGCGACCGCGGGGCGGGCUGAUGAUGGCCUCCCGUGCGCUCCGCCGCGCGGUUGGCCCAAAUACCGAGUCCCCGGCGACGGGCGCCACGACGAUCGGUGGUUGAGAGACCUCUGUCGCAAGUCGUGCGCGCCCGUCGCGUCACGCGGGCUCGCAUAGCGCCUCGCGCCGCACCCGGUGCGGAGCUUUCAACGCGACCCCAGGUCAGGCGGGGUUACCCGCUGAAUUUAAGCAUAUCAAUAAGCGGAGGA
rnacentral:misc_RNA from 1 species